rnacentral:lncRNA from 1 species
AGACAACACCCGCCCGCGGCCGGGCCAGGCGCCGAGCAGGCAGCUGCGGCCCUCGGGAAGCCCGGAGAGGGGACCCACUCCGGCGCCCUGCCCGCGUCCCCCUUUGUGGGUGACAGACUGCACGGGAGGACACCGGGGCAGCUCCCAUGCCCACGAGGGUGCCCUCCCUCGGGAACUAGGGAAGGCAGAAGAGCCCGCUGACCACCAGAAAAAACACGGGGACGGCGGGGACAAGGGCUGACCCGUCUCCACCGAGACUGAACCUCGAGUUCUAAGGCUAAGUACGGGUUUACUUGCUACUUAGGUGGCAGGGAGAGAGGGGAUUUACUUCCUUGGGAGUUUGCUCUCAGAAACGCUGGGGGCAAAGAACACCGCGGUGCCUGGCCCCGGAAGCCCUCGGGGACGGGCGUCUCUGGUGACCGGCCACCCGAGACGGGAAAUGCGCGCUCACCUGGACAGCGCGGCUCAGCGGCACAGAAUGCUGUCGCCCUGCUUGUUCACCGCGCCGGCCUGGAACAGCAACCGAACACCAAGGGAAAGGCAUCAACAGUGAGAACUGGGCAAAGCACAUGAGAUGUCUAAGAUCUGCCAGGAAAAGGACCAUGAAGGACUUGCCUGUGGUCAAGAAUCUACAUCUCAGUAUUUGUACAGUUGAGCCGAAAUGCCUGUUCUAACAAAGAGAGCCUGGGUGGGACUGCCAAGAUGAAUAGACAUAAUCCUCGAUCUAACCACUUCACAGUUUAUCAUCGGAGUCAAGUUUGCAGAUAAACAAUUGCCAUGCAACUUUCAAGGUACAAGUUUAAAAGUAUAUAUGAAUUUUAUUGGGAAGACAUCAGUGACAGCUUCACAGCAAUGUUGUCACCUGAGCUGUAUAUUUAGGUGAAUUAUUUGGACAUGUAAGUAGGGGAAAAGUCAUUCCAGAUGAAGAGAAUGCUAUGACAAAGGUGCUGGGGACUGGAAAAGCCUAGCUUUCCAGAGACUGAGUAUUGCUUUAGUGGGCAAUAAGAGAAGAUAGUAAAGAGAGCUAUAUUAGGAUUUGCUUUAGGGGACUCAGUGCUGGCUAGAUCCUGAAGGGCCCUGAAUACCAUGCCAAGGAACUUGGCUUUUUUCCAUCCUUAAUGAGAGCCAUGAAAAGAUUUUAAGCCAGGAAAUGAUGCUAUUAGAUUUUCAUAUAGGAUUGUAGAAGGGUGUUAGUAGAGUUGAAACUAGAG